rnacentral:misc_RNA from 1 species
UUGAAAACAUUGUAAAGGAGAGUUGAGCUGGUCCUUCUAGGGCAAGUGCUCGCUUUUCUUUCAAUCUUCAUCCACCUGUGCACUCUUUGUAGAGAGCUUUGAGAAACGAGAGCCUCCGGGCUCUCUCUAGUAUUGGGGCUCUCUAUGUCUUUACACACUCUGAAUGUAUGUCAUUGAAUGUCUUUUAUAAAGGAACUUAAUUGUACCUUUUAAAACUAUA